CGCGACGCACCGAGGCCUGAGGACCCGAAAGCCGGGCGCGGGGAGAUGACCGGUGGCUCGUGACGGUCCCACGGGCAAAAUCUUCCAUCGCCCGGGGCUGAGACUUGUCAAACUGCCCUCUACGGUCACCCGGAAAUGGCUGUGAUUCAGCGUCCCUCUUAGCAGCAGGCACUGACAGAGGCAGGAGAGGAAAAAAGAAAGAAAGAAAGAGAAAACACAGCAAAUGAAUCAAACGGACGUAGCAGGCAAGAGUGUGGUUAUCGUUGGACCAGGAUUCAGGAUCUGACCGAGUAGCUGACUCUUAAUCCAGUUUGUGUUGAUCACCAGGAGGAUCUGGACCUCAGUGUUAUCACAUCUAAAGCUAUAAUCACAUCCCUGUUAAGCCUUCCUGAGAUCACACCAAAUGUCCUUGAUGGGAAUUGUAAACAACCCUUACUUCUGGUUUCUAAUGAUAUUCCAGGAAAGGAGCCUAACUAGAGUCAGUGAUAUGCCAACUCCACCUUUGCCUUCCACCAUGUUUGGAAGCUCCCUGAGGCCUCACCAGGAGCAGAUGCUCGUCCCAUGCUUCCUAUAAGCCUGCAGAACUGUGAGCCAUAAUAAACUGUGAAUUAUAAAUUGCCUUUAUAGCAAUGCAAAUGGACCAGUACAGAUGGGAUGCUGGGAAGACAGUUGUUCCACCUUCAGUAAAGUCCAUGGAACACAGUUGUGACUAUAUUCUAGGCCAGCCAAGAUGCUUGUACUCAGAAAGGAGUGAUCUCAGGACCAUAAGAAAGUGAAAAAAUAAAAAUAAGAAAACAAAGAAGGGAUUGUCAAUGAAUCAGAAUUCAUCAAGGUCAAAGUCUUAGGAAAUUCCUUCAUGAGGAAGUCUAGGGGGGCUAUGGAAAUGAAAAUUUUUAAACAAAUAGGUAUGUGGUGCUGGCAGGAAUAAAUUAUGGACUUAUGAAUAUAACAUAAGAUUCUUUAUUACCUGGUCUCACCCGUCUUUCCACCUCUGCCCCCCUUCUUGCCCGACUCUGUGUAUCACCCAUAAUAAACUACUUACAGCUUCCUAGUGUUAAAUUUACCCUAAAGCUGCCUCCUUCAAUAUUUUAAGUUUAACCUAAAGGUUCUUCAUACAUAGUGAACUAUAACCCAAUGAUUAAACAGAUUGUAACCUACUCUUGUACCAGUCACCAAGUUUCAGCCAAUCAGAGGUGGCCAACUGUUCAAACCAUGCUCAAAUAAGGGAAAUGUCAUGGUGUAACUAAUCCAGCUGUUUCUAUAUCUUACUUCUGUUUUCUUAGGUCACUUUCCUUUUUCUGUCCAUAAAUUCUCUCCAACCACUCAGCAGCACUGGAGUCACUCCAAAGCUAUCCUGGUUCAGGGGUCUGUCUGAUUCACAAGUCAUUCUUUGUUCAAUUGAGCUCUGCUAAAUUUAAUUUGUCUGAAGUUUUUCUUUUAACAGAUGGUGUCAGAAAUGGACCCCAAAGUAGAGCUCCCAGUGAUCCCCCAGGAGCACUGAGUGACCACAAGGGGUACCUGCUGGGCCCGUCCUCUCGCAGUGUCCACUGCUCUCUUACAGCAACUGGAGAUUGUGGCUACAUUCUCUCUCAGAUUCUGAAGCUCCAUACAUUGCCGUUUUCAGCUGUUCAAGCUUGCUUGAGCAAAUUUUUGAUCUUAGCUGAGUUUGGAAGUCGAUAGACAUUGGACUGGGUCCAGGAUUUGAUUGGAUCUGAUAAUUAACUGGCUUGGAUGCAGUUAGAUGCCUCGGGUAUCUGACUGGGUCAGAUAGAAACCGCCAGUAAAUAUUUUGAUAACAAUACUGCAGGGGUAUGAACUCUGGCUUUAAGAAACUCACAAGGAAUUUUAUGUUCUAUACCCUUUGUUUCUUUUUCUUGUGUGCUUCGGUCAGGAAAAAUCAUUAGUCAAGUUAAUCAAGGGGAUCUGAGAGCCAAAUACAAGAUUCAACGUAAAAAUGGAAUCCUUGGGCUGGGUGUGGUGGCUCAGGCCUGUAAUCCCAGGACUUUGGGAGGCUGAGGCAGGCGGAUCACCUGACCUUAGGAGUUCGAGACCAGUCUGGCCAACAUGGUGAAACCCCGUCUCCACUAAAAAUGCAAAAAUUAGCCAGUCGUGGUGGUGGGCACCUGUAAUCCCAGCUACUUUGGAGGCUGAGGCAGGAUAAUCACUUGAACCCAGGAGGCAGAGGUUGCAGUGAUCUCAGAUUGCGCCACUGCACUCCAGCCUGGGCGAAAGAGCGAGACUCCAUCUCAUAAAUAAAUACAUAAAUAAAUAAAGAAAUCCUUAAUUUCUGCGGAACUGAGUGCUCUACCUUCUGGCUACACCUACAUAUACCUGUAUGAGGUAUAGGCCCUGGAAGCAGCAAACACUUACAGAAAUGGUGAAAUCUUACUAAAGGUAAUCUAAAGUUAUGGUGGAACAUCUCAAAUGAACAACACUGCACUUUAGGAAGUACAUAUAAAAAUGAAGUCUCCCAAUUUAGUAUUAUUCAGGGAUGGCUGUUGAAGUUCAGAAGCUUCUAAAAAGAUUCCAAUAAUUUUAUAGAUUCUUUUAAAAGAUUCUUUGUAAAAGGCAAAUAAAAAGCUUAAGUGACUAAUCAGAAAAAUUAGGUCUUCUAACCUUUUGUCAUUGUUACUGUCUUGCCCUGAAAGGGAAAAGAAAGCUGGAUAAAGUAUUUAUAGAAGAUAGAGGACCUGUGGUGGCUCAUGCCUGUAAUCCAAGGUGGAAGGAUUGCUUGAGGCCAGAAGUUCAAGACCAGUCCAAGCAACAUAGCAAGGCCCCAUCUCUACAAAAAAAUGAAAAUAAAAUUAGCCGAGCGUGAUGGCUCAUGCCUGUAGUUCUAGCUUCCAGAGAGGCUGAGGCAGGAGGAUUGCUUGAGUCCAGGAGUUCAAGAUUACAAUGAGCUAUGGUCACACCACUGCACUCCAGCCUGGGUGAUGGAGUGAGACUGUCUCAAUAAAAAGACAAAAAGGUCAAGGAAGCUUUUCCUGAUCCACUAAGGACAAUCAAACCCUUCAUGAUCUAGAAUCUGGAGACUGUGUCUUCUGGGAAUAGUAUCAGAGAAAGACUGCCCUUACUGCCCACAUGUAGCAAAACUUUGAGACGUUGAAUUAUGGGUCCAUAAUCUCACAACUCAGAGGGGCACCUCUAGACUCUUGGAACUGCAUAUCUAUUGGAGACUUUAAGGUAAAGCUGAACAGAGACGUUUUUCUCCAGAAGCAGACAGCACCAUAGUCAUGGACAGCUUUCCCAAGAUCACAGAUCAAGACUUCUGUGCCGUCAUGAGACUCAUACCUCUUAAUUUUUUCUUGCUUAUGCUUCUGUGAACAAUAGAAUUGGAAAAGGGGUGGUCCCGCGUGCACCCAUAGGGUAUACUUUUAUUUGUGGAGGAUUUUGCUGCCAACCUUAUACAUGGGCAAACUUAUGCCUUCAUGGAUGGAAGAUAAAGGGCUAAUAUGGGUUAGAAAUUUUAAUGGUACCUUUGUUUCUCCAUAAUCAUUCAGAAACAGAACACUGGUCCACUCUUGUUAACCUACAUCAUAGGUUGAAGAGAACAUUGCCAGGAGGUCUUCAUCCUUCCAGAUGGGCACCAUUUGUUGGGUCUUUUUCCAUGGUAUGAAGAAAAUGAAGCAAUGAUUAGAAAUUGGUCCCUCGGCCGGGCACAAUGGCUCAUGCCUGUAAUCCCAUCACUUUGGCAGGCCGACGCGGGUGGAUCACCUGAGGUCAGGAGUUUGAGACCAGCCUGACCAAUGUGGUGAAACCCCAUCUCUACUAAAAAUACAAAAAUUAGCUGGGUGUGAUGGUGCACACCUGUAAUCCAGCUACUCGGGAGGCUGAGACAGGAGAAUUGCUUGAACCUGGGAGGCAGAGGUUGCAGUGAGCCAAGAUCACCCCACUGCAUUCCAGGUUGGGCAACAGAGCAAGACUCUGUCUCAAAAAAAAAAGAAGAAAGAAAGAAAUUGAUCCCUCAUAAUAGGCUGUAUAGCAGAUUCUACUGCAAAGGCUAUGGUUGCACAACAGCCUUCUUUGAAUUUGCUUGCUAAACUUUUACUGGAUAAUAGAAUUGCCUCCAAAAGUGCUGGGAUUACAGGUGUGAGCCACUGUGCCCAGCCUCUCCUGUUUAAUUGUAUUCAUUCUAAUGUUUACUUACUUCUUUAAUUUGUAAAAUUGGGUCACUUAGAGUUUUUUAGCCUAUCUUACCAUUUAGCCACUAUUACUGAUAAUUUGGAUGGAAAAGAAAAAUAAAU
rnacentral:lncRNA from 1 species